rnacentral:rRNA from 1 species
GAGAACCUGCGGAGGGAUCAUU